AAAAUGGCUGUGAAGAGAAGAGUAGGUUUUCGCAUUGAUCCUUCCAGAGAGCCCGGCCGGUGGAAAAGGGCAGGAAACAGGGAACUGAAAAUGGUCUCGGAGCCGCGGGGGCGAAGCGCAAGAGUGCUAAGCCCGCGACGGGAGCGCCCGUUACAGCGUCCGGCUGUAAGCAGUGGAGGGAGAAAGCCGCUGCCGCAGCUUCGAGGCCGAGCCUGUGAGGGCACGGUAAACCAAGGUGGUACCACGGAAGUUUUGUCACGCUUUCGUCCUUGUG
rnacentral:ncRNA from 1 species